ACAGCAGUCGCCGCGGUAAGACAGAGGAUGCAAGCGUUAUCCGGAAUGAUUGGGCGUAAAGCGAGCGCAGGCGGUUAGAUAAGUCUGAAGUUAAAGGCUGUGGCUUAACCAUAGUACGCUUUGGAAACUGUUUAGCUUGAGUGCAAGAGGGGAGAGUGGAAUUCCAUGUGUAGCGGUGAAAUGCGUAGAUAUAUGGAGGAACACCGGUGGCGAAAGCGGCUCUCUGGCUUGUAACUGACGCUGAGGCUCGAAAGCGUGGGGAGCAAACAGGAUUAGAGACCCCCGUAGUCCCUGUCUCUUAUACC
rnacentral:rRNA from 1 species